GGGAGGGUCCCUGAGGGUGGGGGCACCCUCAGGGCACUAUAGUGCCAGGAAAACGAGUAUGUUUUCCUGGCACUAUAGUGGUCCUUUAAUGAAAUAAGACAUAGAAGCCUAGCUGUGUGUUCACAAAGGAUGGAACAGUAUACCAGGUCUCUGUUCCACCAGAGUACAUUUCACAGGAGAGAACAUCAACCAUCUGGAAUGAAAGGAAAAGCCCCCCGUUGAUAGGAAGCAGUGUGAUACAGACAGACGUCGAUUUCGGCAAAAUCAUGUUACUGCUUUAUUGCCGCUUGAUUCAAGACCGUUUCUUUUGUUUCCAAAGCUUCUUACGGUCUUUAGAAAAAGAUCAGAUGUCCUCUACCUUCCUAGAAGUUUCACUAGAUAUUUUUAUCGAGUCAGCGCGAAAGGUUAAAGAAGGUAUAAUCAUAUCCUUAAUAUUGCAGUGAACACUUUAUUUUUACUGUGCAAAUUGUGUUGCUGUGGUUGUUCAAAGCAUCGCAUGAUGGACUGUUUCAGUGCUGAACCACUCAGUACUCACAAGAUGUGCUGAUACAGACCAGUUUGAGAAACGACUGAAUUUACACGUAGCCCUAACAAGCCAGUUUAUUACUGAAUUUUCUCAUCCUGUUUGAUUAAUUAACUUAAUUCGGACAAACUAGAAGGAUUUCCUGGUGUCCUGAUCUAUCAUGCUUUACUACGGAGCUAUGGGCUGGAUCAAGCAUACCUAUUAUUAUAUACAACACCAGUGUUUUAUGACUUUUUCCCAACUGUAACUAGCUUAGAGUGUAAAUAUUAGAUGUAACUGAACACAAAGUAUACUCUGUAUUGUGUUUAAAUACCAAUAAAUACUGUAUUAUUCA